rnacentral:lncRNA from 1 species
GCAUUGUACAGGGGUGCGAUUCACUAAGGCAAAACAUCUUUACAACCAAGAAAUCAUCGUUGUAACAUCAGAUGUAAAGUCGGCGGUAUUCAUUAGUUAAAAUUGCGCGAUCGUAGCGCCUCAACGAUGUUGACGGCGUGACAUAGAACUAACAUUUGGUGCCAAAUGUAUGAAGAUCGGUAUUCAGCAACACGAAACAUCCUCGCCUGCAACGACAACCUCGCCUUCGCCCUCGAUUUUAUCUGUCAAACCGAAAAGCUUGUAAAUUGUGGAUGUUUUCUUGGAUGAAGGCGAUUAAAAUAUGGCAGUUCGUCUUUCCUGUAUGAUUUUUUUGUUGGAAGAAACUAAACAUCAAGAUAAUUAAAAAUAAAUAAAAAGUCAGGCCUCCGUGAUACCUACGUAAUAUGGAUUUACUAACUACUGAUAGAAACUAUAUUAAGGUUGACUGAAGAACAGAUUAGACAGUUGAAAGAAGAUUACUCCUUUCCUAACAAAGGCGAAUCGUUAAGGAGGAAUUAGCAACCACACCAAUAUAUUACACACUUAAACAAUAUAAUAUAAAUCAUCAUACAGUACAGUGGAUAGGUGCCUAAAACUUACUGUCCAUCUACCUUUUGUUUGUACUGUCAAUUUUUUGGUUAGUGGGAUUUAUGUACCAAAUACUGACAUUGCAAGAACAAUGUCUCAUAGGCAUCUGCCUCAAGGACUCAACAAUAUACAGUAGAUGCGAUCAACCAUCCAGAUAUUAUUAAUAAGUAGGUACGAGGUAAGAAGCAACUGUGACCCGGUUAACAAGUAAGCCGGACUCUAGCAGUGACUUGGACAGUGGACGUCAUGCUAGAAGUUAUUUAAUAAACAAUAAUAUGUGUGACACCUUCUAACAAUACAUAUGUAUUUUACCUGUUACUGUUACAGCCUUUUUUUUAUCGUCCCACUGCUGGGCACAGGCCUCCUGUCACAUGGAGGUUUGAGCAUUGAGCACCACGCUUGCUCAAUGCGGGUUUGUGAUUUCAGACUAUAUAGUCCAGGUUUCCUCAAGAUGUUUUCCUUCACCUUUUUAUCAGCUAGUGGCGUCCAAGAUAUACUUAGAAAGUACAUAAAAACUUAGAAAAGUUACAUUAUUUGACCGUAUUUGAACUGUGUUUGUUAAAUAGUAUUUUAACAUUACACAAUAAUGUGCAGGUAUCAAAGUAAUUUUUAUGAAAAUACUUAACUUUUCUGUAAUCAUUAGUUAAUAAAACAAUAUUUUAAUUCAA